rnacentral:rRNA from 1 species
AGUGAACGCUGGCGGCAGGCCUAACACAUGCAAGUCGAACGGCUGCAGAGUGCUUGCUCGUGGAUUCAGCGGCGGACGGGUGAGUAAUGCCUAGAAAUAUGCCUGGUUGCGGGGGCUAACGUCCGGAAACGGGCGAUCAUACCGCAAUAGUCCAGACGGCGUACGUGGGGAAUCUUCGGAUCUCACGAUAUCAGGUGAGCCUAGGUCGGAUUAGCUAGUUGGCGGGGUAAAGGCCUACCAAGGCGACGAUCCGUAACUGGUCUGAGAGGAUGAUCAGUCACACUGGAACUGAGACACGGUCCAGACUCCUACGGGAGGCAGCAGUGGGGAAUAUUGGACAAUGGGGGAAAGCCUGAUCCAGCCAUGCCGCGUGUGUGAAGAAGGUCUUCGGAUUGUAAAGCACUUUAGGUGGGGAAGAAGAGCAGUAAGUUAAUACCUUGCUGUUUUGACGUUACCAACAGAAUAAGCACCGGCUAACUUCGUG